rnacentral:lncRNA from 1 species
AGUUCAUCAUGCCUCUUGGCCAGCACUUUACCUACUGAGCCACCUUGCCAGCCCCCCAAACCGGACUUCUAUCUGAAAGAAAAAUGAGUCCAAUUAAGCUCAGAGUUGAAGAGAGAAAAGAAGCCACCGGUGGACAGUUGCCUCAUGAGCGUAGGUUGGAGGCGGGGUUCAAUGUACAUGUCUUCCUUCUUGGUUAUGCUGCCACAAAGGUGGGACACCUGAAGAAAACUGACUUGCUCAGCUUUUGGUUCAUCUAACAGACAAGUGCUUGGUGUCUAAAGUGGAUCAGACAAGGAGUUGCUGUUGGAAACAGACCAAAGAAUCUGGGAUGGAGAAGAGAUGACAGUGGGUAGCAGGACUGUGCCUGGUAAUGGCUGUAUACAUACCAAG